ACCCGGCAACCCUACACCAGCAACGAUCAGCGAGGCCAGCAGCAGAACCCCCAUCCCCCUAAAUGCCUUUUCGACGAGAGUUUUUUCCGCAAGGUAAAUAAAUGGGAUGCUAAACAACGUUUCCUGUGGCUUGGUGCUCGUACCAACGAGGUUUUAUGUCAUGUACUAGCAAUCAUCAUUUUACCUUGCAAAACAAAUAUGUUCAUUACUCAUCGGCUUUGUUGCCUUUUUUUACAAACCGAAUGCCUUUACUGUAGUAGACUAAUCGGCGUAUGCUAUUUUUUUUUGCCGCCAAUGUUUUCCCCCCGCGGUUGGUGGAUCUGGCUACGCAAGCCAUUCUGGUAGCACAGCAACGGACACUGCUAGCGCAAUCUGUCGAACAGCACCAUGGCCUUCUUCCUAAAAAAUUCUGCCAAGCUCGCAGGUAUAUCGUCAGAAGACGUGUCUCUGUACGAAGAGGAUGCUAGCGGUCCCCACGAAAUUCAGUGGAGCGAGGGUGUAUAUUCGUCAGAAGAUUUAGAGACCAUCCCUGGGAGCGCAGCAGCCAUUGGGAUAAACUUAAGAGAACCUAGCCUGGACCAAGCAGGAAAGGGGAAGAGCGUUCUAGCAUCCGAGAUGAAAUUUCUCAGGGCACCCCCAUAGCGCGCAGAUGACCAUGAAUGAACUGGACCCAAAACGAAAAGGGAAGGCUAUUUGCGUCGAAGGGAGCAAUCCGCCCAACGCGCAGGGUGGGUCGCACGUACUGAAUGAUUGGGAUUUGAACGAAACAAAUGGAACCCAAAUUGGAAGCUUCUGCUUAUGCGACCUAUACCGCUCACCGUUCAACCUGAACGAGAGCCAGCCCAUCAUGGAGUACGUCGAUUUUGGCAUCAUCCCGGAAUACAACGCAUCCCCCAGACGGAUGGGAAGCCCAGAUUUUGCGGCGCAUCAGCCUUUGUUCGACCGGACUCCAGAGAAUACAAGGAUUUCGGCUCUGUACCCAGGAUGGCCCCAUCCCCAAUGAGAAAUCAACACUUUCGGUUAGAACUUUCAUCAACGCCGGCACGUUACCCGAGGUAGACGCCGAACAAAGCAGUAAGGCGCCAUCACCCACUGGCAUGCAGACCUUGAACGCCCCAUUGCAUACCACACGAGGUAAUGGCAAUUUCCUGAACGUUGCCCCCUCACCGUUCAUACGGGCUCUGCACCACGAACUGCCCGAUCGAGAGGUUGCGCGGAACUUCCACGACAAUGUGUACACAUGCUUUGGGGAGGAAACACAACGCAUAUGGGUUAGCCACGUCGGGUUGCCGCCAGUGAACCUAACUGGUCAGCAAGUGAAGGAAGCAUUAUGCUACGAAUGGGACCUCAGCUUCGAUUGUAUGGACGCAAUAGUUCAUCUUUCAACGAGAAAGAAGCAGCCAUGCACAUUGGCUUACCUGCAGGCAGAUGGAGGAUUUUUGCUUCCACCGAAGUGAUGCUGCAGUGGGUUUAUCCCGAGCGUAAGCGUGAAAAUCAGAACAUUCUGCAGAUUCUGCGCCAUGGGAUAUUUGACAUACCCACCCACCUUGCAAGAAUGAUAAUGCUGCCGUAUCCAGCAGAAGGGAGUUGGUCCCUUUAUGUGCUUGACAAGAUCUACCGCCAGAUCACUGUCGUCGACCCAGUAUUAACAUGGAAAAGGGAAGACGAGUACAUGGCAAAGCAUGCGAAGAACAUCCGGCUCAUCAAGAAGGGAUUCACGCCUAUAGGCGCCCUUAUUGGCGGUGGAUGGAAGAUUAAAGAGAAGGAGUGGGACACCAAGUACAACUACAAAUUAUCAUAUCCAUGCACCGUGGAAGAAUCUGCCACCUUCAUCUACCACUAUGCCCGGUACUUCGACGGGGACACUCUCCUAGCCAAUAUCGACCCAGAGGAGUGCCGUAGGUUGAAGCACGAGAUACUGUAUGGGGUCGUUGGCAUGGCCGGUAACGCUGCGGCCAUCCCAACUUUCUGGAGCAACAACGGAACUUGAAGUCCAGGCCAGAUCCCACCGCAUCAACAACCCAGCCCCCAGCAACUAUCCCUAGUUUUAAUUAGAAGACUAUCUCAAUAUGAUGUCCCUAAAUCCUGUCAUCAUAACGAUGACAUGGGAUAAACUGCUAUGCUUCUGUACCUGUUUGUAUAAUUAUGCGAAACAACCAUAGUAUAAUGUGUUUAGUCCAGAUGGUGUC